UGUAUUGAAAUUCUAACCUACGGGUCUUAUCGACCCGGGAGACAGUGUCAGGUGGGCAGUUUGACUGGGGCGGUCGCCUCCUAAAGUGUAACGGAGGCGCCCAAAGGUUCCCUCAGAAUGGUUGGAAAUCAUUCGUAGAGUGCAAAGGCAUAAGGGAGCUUGACUGCGAGACCUACAAGUCGAGCAGGGACGAAAGUCGGGCUUAGUGAUCCGGUGGUUCCGCAUGGAAGGGCCAUCGCUCAACGGAUAAAAGCUACCCCGGGGAUAACAGGCUUAUCUCCCCCAAGAGUCCACAUCGACGGGGAGGUUUGGCACCUCGAUGUCGGCUCAUCGCAUCCUGGGGCUGUAGUCGGUCCCAAGGGUUGGGCUGUUCGCCCAUUAAAGCGGUACGCGAGCUGGGUUCAGAACGUCGUGAGACAGUUCGGUCCCUAUCCGUCGUGGGCGUAGGAAAUUUGAGAGGAGCUGUCCUUAGUACGAGAGGACCGGGAUGGACGCACCGCUGGUGUACCAGUUGUUCUGCCAAGGGCAUAGCUGGGUAGCUAUGUGCGGAAGGGAUAAGUGCUGAAAGCAUCUAAGCAUGAAGCCCCCCUCAAGAUGAGAUUUCCCAUAGCGUAAGCUAGUAAGAUCCCUGAAAGAUGAUCAGGUUGAUAGGUUCGAGGUGGAAGC
rnacentral:rRNA from 1 species